rnacentral:ncRNA from 1 species
GUGUGGUAUGGAAAGAGAGAAGGUUAGCACUCCCCUAUGACAAGUAUAGGAAGAGGCCUGCCACACACAUACAGUUAAGGCAUUUGCAAACCUAACUUGUUGU